UGAGCUCAACAAAGAAACUCCGACCUCAGACCGCGAAAAUCGGGGUUGCACUCACACACUUGCAACUUUUUGUGUAUGAACACAAAAGUCGAACGAGAAUCGUGGUGAAAAAGUGCGAAAAGGAAAACACGAUAUGAUAGAGACAAGUGCAACCCCAUUGUGCAAAUUUGUUUAAACGUCAAAAUUAUUAAAACAAUAAAAAAAAGUAAGCGAGUGGAGGAAGCGAAAGGCGAGUGCUGAUCAUUUUAGAACUAACUGUUUUGAACCAUGGAGCAGAAGUUGGUAAAAAAAUUGGUAAUCCUGUACAAUACGCAGCAGCACCUGCUGCUACACCAAAAUUGGCCAGUGAAUCAACAUACCCAUCGAAAACAACCAAUGGAAAUUUAUAAAACUCUUCGUCAAACAAGAACUAUAAUAGCACUUCAAUGAAUCAAUCGAUGAAUGCUUCCAUGACUGCUCCCAUAGCGAGUUUAACUCCAUACCAAAAUAAAUGGGUAAUCAAAGCACGUGUUACAUCCAAGUCAGGCAUACGCACUUGGAGUAAUGCUUAAGGAGAAGGCAAACUCUUUAAUAUGUAUCUGCUAGACGAAUCUGGUGAAAUUCGUGCUACAGCAUUUGAGGAGCAGUGCGACCGAUAUUAAGAUAUGAUUGAAGUCGAUAAAGUUUAUUUUUUCUCAAAGUGCCAGCUGAAACCAGCAAAUAAGCAAUAUUCUUCUCUUAAAAAUAUAACGAGAUGACAUUUACAGGCGAGACACUAGUUCAGCCUUGCGAAGAAGAAGAUGAUAGCAUUCAAUAUAAUUUAGUGCCAAUUUCACAAAUUGCAAAUAUUGAACCUAAAGCUGCUGUUGACACAAUUGGUAUUUGUCGUGAUGUUGGUGAAUUAAAUACAGGACAAAUAAGGAAUUCAAGUAACGAGAAUUUAAUCUUGUUGAUAUCGGUAAUGCUGCGUAUAAAUCUGAAGCUCUACUGAUGAGAGGAACCUUUCAUUUGUUGUCAGCCAACUAUGCCGAUUCAAAGACAGACUUGGAUGCCGUCAUUAAUAAUGGAAAUAAUGUGCUGGACAAAGGCGAAACAAAGCUGUAAUCUACCUAAGGUUUUUCGUCGAAAAAUGACAAACAAUGUACCAAGUGUACCACAUCAAUUUGGACCAGCCACCAAUAUCAUAAGCUUCAAAUUAAGUGUUGAACCGCAGUAUAAAACCCCCAAGUAAUAAUGAAAAAAAUCACAGAUCGAACUGAAAGUCGAUCAAUCAGGUGGGCCAAUGCAUACGGACGUGAUACACAUGACUGAAAAUCUCUAGCAGGACAACAAAAGUGGAGGAAGUAUCACCGAGGGUAUACCAACACCAACUCAGUCGGGGUAUUCAAGAUUCGAUGCAAAUGGUCUUGUAUCGUUUCCUGGGAAUCCCCAGCAGAGAAUAACGAAUCAGUAGGAAGUAUGAUCAAAGGAAUCCACAGUGUAUUGAUUAAGUGCAGGGAAUACUGGACAACAAGUUGAACAACAACAGCAGCAACAACAAAUGAAAAAAUUUAUUUUGUUUAAUAUUUGUUUUAAUAUUGUAUUUAUUGUAUUUCUUUUGCUAAAAAAAACAUUAAAAUUAAAAAAAGAAAAAGCAAUU